rnacentral:lncRNA from 1 species
GCACAAAUGAUAGGAUCAAUUUUAUAAAUAAUUGAACAUUUUCGGAUCCUGUCAAUAGUGGACUUGCUCUGCAAAGAGAAAUUACAUUAAAAACGUUAAAAACGUAAAACAUCAAUACGGAGGACGGACUUCAAAUGCAUUGUAUUAAGUUACAAGUGAAUAUAUAUGAUUAAAUAAUAAUUUUUAAAAAAAAAAAUGGAUCUGCAGCUAUAGUAAAAUAUCCAAUUUAAUCCUUUGUGUAUCGAAUAGUAGAGCUCUGCAAAUUGUGGGACUCGAUUUCGACCAAGAAUUGAUGAUUACCAAAACUAAUGUAUCUUAGAUAAGCAUUGUAUUUGUAUGUAAAUUAGACAAACACAAAGCGCAACCACCAAAGCUAAGUGUUCAAAUACUAAACAAGAGAAUAGCAUGGCAUCCAUGAAAUAAAACCAAAGGCAUUUGCAAGCAAGGAGAUAAAAUAUUCUCUUCAUCUCUUCAUUCCAACCUUUCCUUCUUCAUCUAACAACAUAAUUUAGUAACCAAAAUUUCACCUCAAUUUCAAAUUUUGAAAAAUUCGAAAUUCUAUGAAAACUAAAGAAUGUUAAGGGUAAACACAAAUUUCGUCGACGCAACACUCAAGAAGAAGCAUGAUGAUAUCUGCGGCAAGGUUGUCAAAAUAUCACAACUCAAUAUAUGGGAAGGUGAUUAUAAACUUCAACCAUUCACCCAAGGCAAAAGAAGCUAAAUCACACCGAUCAGCGGAAGCAAUUAAAAGAGAGCCAAAAUGGACUAAAUCUCACAUCAUAUUUGCUGGUUUCCAAUCAUCCAGCAAAGAAACUUGUUGUCAAUCAAGUCAUUAACACAGCAAAAACGAGCAAAAUGAAGGAAUGAAAAACGAACCAAAUUACUUGAAGAAUUCACAUGUGAGGCUAGAAGAACACACAGAUUUUGAUAAAAUACAAUUACUUGGCUAAUGGCUUGUGGUUUAGGUCCAUUUUGGGGAUCUAAAACAAGGACCGGAUUAUAAUAGACAACAACAAUAUAAUGUGUCACUAGCACUCAACAGGUUGUUGGAUACUGGUUCAACAAGAAAUGCAAGUCGCAUGAUUUCUAUACUUGGGCAGUGUAGCUAAGUAGGCCUAGCUUCAAGACCGAGAUUUUGAUGUUUAUUCACGGAUAAAAGAUAAAGAUAGUUUGUUUAGUUCAGCUAUUAAAAUGUUACAGAAAUUAGUUUACAAAAAAUACGCAAGUUACCGUAUAACUCAAAUAUGUCAGAACAGAGGAUACAUGGGUCAAUAAUAAGCAUAACUCUACAGCAAAAAUAAUCAUCAAUUCGUCAUGAUAAUAAUAGGCAGACAAAAAUUUUCCUUCAGCUUCUGACCUCAGUAUUGUUGACCCAAACUCAGAAUAAUCCCGAGUUACUGAAGAUGCAACUUCUACAAAAGAUGAAUAUCCUUUAAAAUGGAAUAACUAAAUUGUUGCAAACCCAAAUUGCUAUAAAACCUUGAGCAGGAGGAGAGAGAAAAAGAAAAUAAAACCAAACAGAAAAGAACAUGAAAAUGAUAUUCAUACCCAAGUUAGAGGUGUCAUGACACACUAACAUAACAAAAGCCUGAGAGAGCAAAUGAACCAAUAUUCAUAUUUCUAAAUCUAAAUAAACCUUGCAAAUUGGAAAACAUAAUACACAAAAGUUAAGGAGGAGAGCAGCAAACCCAAAACCUAAAGGAGUUAAGAGGAUAAAGUGAUACUGUAUUUACUUUAGAACAAUAAGGGAAAAAACCAAUAACAGCAGCCAAUAGCUCAAAAGCAGAAAAGAUAAAGUGAUACUAUAUUUACUGACCUACUCAAAAACCAUAAACAAAAAAAUGAAAUUAAGGAGAUAAAAAAAGUUUAUGCUUACCAAAAAAACAAACCAAGCUAUCUACAGGGAUGUCCUAUGCUCUUUAUCAAGUUAUAUUUUGUACAUGGAGGAGACAUGCAAAGAGAAAUCAAAGACCAUCAAGAGACGGAAUUUCUUGUUCAGAGAGAAAGCGAGGAUAAAAGAGACACACAAAAGACUGGAAGUUGAUCACUGGGAGAUGUUCUUCACAGACAUAAAAGAUAUAAGAAGAGGUUAAGAUUUGAAAAUGAAAGGGAUGUUCAGCAACUAAUAUUCUAAACCAACCAAAAAGAAGAGUGUUUAGAGAAAAAAGCCAAUCCAAUCCAUAUUUGAAAUUUAAACUGAUGUAUGGAGUUGGAUUUUUUAAUCAGUCGGUUUG